rnacentral:snRNA from 1 species
GUGCUCACGUCAGAAGCACAUAUACUAAAAUGGGAACGAUACAGAGAAGAUUAGCAUGGCCCCUGUGCAAGGAUGACAUGCAAAUUCAUGAAGUGUUCCAUAUUUUU